rnacentral:rRNA from 1 species
UACGGAGAGUGCAAGCAUUAAUCGGAAUUAUUGGGCGUAAAGGGCGCGUAGGCGGGACGAUAAGUCAGAUGUGAAAUUCCGAAGCUCAACUUCGGAGCUGCAUUUGAAACUAUCAUUCUAGAGGGUUGACGGAGAAAACGGAAUUCCAAGUGUAGCGGUGAAAUGCGUAGAUAUUUGGAAGAACACCAGUGGCGAAAGCGGUUUUCUAGUUAAUACCUGACGCUGAGGCGCGAGAGCAAGGGGAGCAAACAGG